UAGGUCCCGAGCGUUGUCCGGAUUUAUUGGGCGUAAAGCGAGCGCAGGGGGUUUAUUAAGUCUGGUGUAAAAGGCAGUGGCUCAACCAUUGUAUGCAUUGGAAACUGGUAGACUUGAGUGCAGGAGAGGAGAGUGGAAUUCCAUGUGUAGCGGUGAAAUGCGUAGAUAUAUGGAGGAACACCGGUGGCGAAAGCGGCUCUCUGGCCUGUAACUGACACUGAGGCUCGAAAGCGUGGGGAGCAAACAGG
rnacentral:rRNA from 1 species